GUGGGGAAUCUUCCGCAAUGGGCGAAAGCCUGACGGAGCAACGCCGCGUGAGUGAAGAAGGCCUUCGGGUCGUAAAGCUCUGUCUUUAGGGACGAACCGCGUAUGGAGUAAUAUGCCAUACGUCUGACGGUACCUAAGGAGGAAGCUCCGGCUAACUACGUGCCAGCAGCCGCGGUAAUACGUAGGGAGCGAGCGUUGUCCGGAAUUACUGGGCGUAAAGGGCGGGUAGGGGGAGGUUUAAGUAGGGUGUGAAAACUAUGGGCUCAACCGAUAGACUGCAUCCUAAACUGGGCCUCUUGAGGGCAGGAGAGGAAAGUGGAAUUCCUAGUGUAGCGGUGAAAUGCGUAGAUAUUAGGAGGAACACCAGUGGCGAAGGCGACUUUCUGGACUGUACCUGACGCUGAGGCGCGAAAGCGUGGGGAGCGAACAGGAUUAGAAACCCGUGUAGUCC
rnacentral:rRNA from 1 species